rnacentral:rRNA from 1 species
CGCGUAGGCGGUUGUGUAAGUCAGAUGUGAAAUCCUCCGGCUCAACCGGAGAACUGCAUUUGAUACUGCACGACUCGAGUACUGGAGAGGGAAACGGAAUUCCCGGUGUAGAGGUGAAAUUCGUAGAUAUCGGGAGGAACACCGGUGGCGAAGGCGGUUUCCUGGCCAGAUACUGACGCUGAGGCGCGAAAGCGUGGGUAGCAAACAGGAUUAGAUACCCUGGUAGUCCACGCCGUAAACGGUGAGUACUGGGUGUGGGAGGUGUAAUGCCUUCUGUGCCGAAGCUAACGCGUUAAGUACUCCGCCUGGGGAGUACGGCCGCAAGGUUGAA